rnacentral:rRNA from 1 species
GACGAACGCUGGCGGCGUGCUUAACACAUGCAAGUCGAACGGAAAGGCCCUGCUUUUGUGGGGUGCUCGAGUGGCGAACGGGUGAGUAACACGUGAGUAACCUGCCCUUGACUUUGGGAUAACUUCAGGAAACUGGGGCUAAUACCGGAUAGGAGCUCCUGCUGCAUGGUGGGGGUUGGAAAGUUUCGGCGGUUGGGGAUGGACUCGGGGCUUAUCAGCUUGUUGGUGGGGUAGUGGCAUACCAAGGCUUUGACGGGUAGCCGGCCUGAGAGGGUGACCGGCCACAUUGGGACUGAGAUACGGCCCAGACUCCUACGGGAGGCAGCAGUGGGGAAUAUUGCACAAUGGGCGGAAGCCUGAUGCAGCAACGCCGCGUGCGGGAUGACGGCCUUCGGGUUGUAAACCGCUUUCGCCUGUGACGAAGCGUGAGUGACGGUAAUGGGUAAAGAAGCACCGGCUAACUACGUG